UAGAAUCUAUUAUUGUAUGCUCACAGCACUCAGUCAAAUGUCUUACAGCAAUCAGAUGUUCAAUUAAUGUUUGUUGCUUGAUUGAUCAUAAUGGAUUAAUCACCAGUUUACAGUUUUAAGAGGACCUUCAGAAGUUAUCAAGUCAGAAAUCUAAAGGUCAGGAUACAUUGCGGGAAGAUGGCUGAAGAGGACAUGAAGUUUCCUUGCCCUCAUAAUAACCCUCACAAACAACCAAAAAUAAUUCCACAGACUAACAGCCGCAAAAACAGACAGAAUUCAGGAGUGAAGCUGAACAGCCAGGGGUGACUAUGGAGUAAGGUUCCUGAUAUCCUUGGUUUCAGUCCCACCACUUCAGGCCCAAUGGGCAGAAACAAAGGAAAUAGAGUGAAACAACAAGUUAGCCCCUGGGGGCAGGAUUGGCACUCUCCACUCAUUUACUGAGUUCCAGAACUUCCAUCACCAAGGAUACCAUGGGAAUCUGCAGGCUGCAGCAGUAAGAGAGGAGCCAUGGAGUAGGAAUGUGUACCCAUGAGUGUGGUAGCUGAAGAACUGGAGCCCAUCAGCUAUGGCCACUCCCAGAAGAAUAGUCUCUCUGGCAGCAGUCAGAGAAGCUAGUAGACUGGUUGCUUGCAUUUGAAGUGACAGAACUGUCCAUGGAUUUGGGAAUUUAUUUUCCAAGACAAACUCAGGAAUUGUAUGAACACAACUAUGAAACACUUUUCCUACAAAUAAAAUGAGAUCUAAAAAAAUUCAAAAAACA